UACAGAGGGUGCUAGCGUUGUUCGGAAUCAUUGGGCGUAAAGGGCGCGUAGGCGGUCAGCACAAGUCAGUUGUGAAAUCUCCGGGCUUAACCCGGAAAGGUCAACUGAUACUGUGCGACUAGAGUGCGGAAGGGGCAACUGGAAUUCUCGGUGUAGCGGUGAAAUGCGUAGAUAUCGAGAGGAACACCUGCGGCGAAGGCGGGUUGCUGGGCCGACACUGACGCUGAUGCGCGAAAGCCAGGGGAGCGAACGGG
rnacentral:rRNA from 1 species